rnacentral:tRNA from 1 species
GUUGUUGUAGCUUAUUCCAAAGCAUGGCACUGAAGCCGCCAAGAUGGGCAUUAACCGCUCCAAAAACA